rnacentral:rRNA from 1 species
CUACGGGAGGCAGCAGUGGGGAAUUUUCCGCAAUGGGCGAAAGCCUGACGGAGCAAUACCGCGUGAGGGAAGACUGCCUAUGGGUUGUAAACCUCUUUUUCCAGGGAGGAACAAAAUGACGUGUACCUGAAGAAUAAGCAUCGGCUAACUCCGUGCCAGCAGCCGCGGUAAGACGGAGGAUGCAAGUGUUAUCCGGAAUCACUGGGCGUAAAGCGUCUGUAGGUGGUUUAAUAAGUCAACUGUUAAAUCUUGAGGCUCAACUUCGAAAUCGCAGUCGAAACUAUUAGACUAGAGUAUAGUAGAGGUAAAGGGAAUUUCCAGUGGAGCGGUGAAAUGCGUAGAGAUUGGAAAGAACACCGAUGGCGAAAGCACUUUACUGGGCUAUUACUGACACUCAGAGACGAAAGCUAGGGUAGCAAAUGGGAUUAGAUACCCCAGUAGUCCUAGCCGUAAACAAUGGAUACUAGAUGUUGAACAGAUCGACCUGUGCAGUAUUAAAGCUAACGCGUUAAGUAUCCCGCCUGGGAAGUAUGCACGCAAGUGUGAAACUCAAAG